rnacentral:rRNA from 1 species
CCUACGGGUGGCAGCAGUGGGGAAUAUUGCACAAUGGGGGAAACCCUGAUGCAGCGAAGCCGCGUGAGUGAAGACGUAUCUCGGUACGUAAAGCUCUAUCAGCAGGGAAGAAAAUGACGGUACCUGACUAAGAAGCCACGGCUCACUACGUGCCAGAAGGCGCGGGAAUACGUAGGGGGCAAGCGUUAUCCGGAGUUACUGGGUGUAAAGGGAGCGUAGACGGUGCAGCAAGUCUGAUGUGAAAGGUCGGGGCCCAACCCCGGGACUGCAUUGGAAACUGUUGAACUGGAGUACAGGAGAGGUGAGCGGAAUUCGUGGUGUAGCGGUGAAAUGCUUAGAUAUUAGGAGGAACACCAGUGGCGAAGGCGGUUUACUGGACUGUAACUGACGUUGAGGCUCGAAAGCGUGGGGAGCAAACAGGAUUAGAUACCCGAGUAGUC